rnacentral:rRNA from 1 species
UACAGAGGUCUCAAGCGUUGUUCGGAUUCAUUGGGCGUAAAGGGUGUGUAGGCGGCGCGCUAAGUCGGGUGUGAAAUUUCGGAGCUUAACUCCGAAACUGCAUUCGAUACUGGCGUGCUUGAGGACUGGAGAGGAGACUGGAAUUCAUGGUGUAGCAGUGAAAUGCGUAGAGAUCAUGAGGAAGACCAGUGGCGAAGGCGGGUCUCUGGACAGUUCCUGACACUGAGACACGAAGGCUAGGGGAGCAAACGGG